rnacentral:lncRNA from 1 species
CUUCCUUUCUCAGUACCACUCCUUUAAAUGCUGCCUGGGCUGUUGGCAUCCAGCUGUGUGCUUUCAGGCUCUGACAACAUCACCAGGAGUGUGUACUGCAGAAGCAUUGUUUCUUCAUUUAAUUAUAUGCCCCUGGCUUUUAUUUUGAGUGAGCUCAGGACCAUGCUCACAGCCUAUUUCUCUGCUGAAGGUGGGUGAGCAGAGGCUCUGGGACAGACAGCCCCACCAGGAAGCUGGAGAGUUCUUCAGCUGGCUUACUGGGAGACCAAAACACUGAGCUGUGCCACUUCAAUGACUUAUAAUGCACUUUAUCUCUGCUUGGCACUGGUGUCCUGGGCUGCGACAGUGAGGACAGCACUGCCCUCUCUUGAUGGGAAGAGUUCAGAUCCCUUUCAACACUGGCAGUGCCUUUCAAUGCUGAAGACCAGAUGUGGCUGUAAACUGGAAACUCUUCAAAGCACAGCUCAGAAAGGCCUAGAGCUGCCAUGUGAGCAGUGUGAAGCCAUGACCACAAGCAGCCUGAAACAUGUCAAGGUCACCCAAGGGAUCACAGAAUCACAAAGGUUGGAAAAGACCUCUAAGAUCAUUGAGUCCGACUGGAUGGGUGUGAAGAAAUGGAAUAAGCUUCAUUACACUGUUAUGUGA